AGAACGAACGCUGGCGGCAGGCUUAACACAUGCAAGUCGAGCGCCCAGCAAUGGGAGCGGCGGACGGGUGAGUAACACGUGGGAACAUGCCCUUUGGUACGGGACAACUCAGGGAAACUUGAGCUAAUACCGUAUGAGCCGGUAACGGGAAAGAUUUACCGCCAAAGGAAUGGCCCGCGUCCGAUUAGCUAGUUGGUGAGGUAAUGGCUCACCAAGGCACCGAUCGGUAGCUGGUUUGAGAGAACGACCAGCCACACUGGGACUGAGACACGGCCCAGACUCCUACGGGAGGCAGCAGUGGGGAAUCUUGGACAAUGGGGGCAACCCUGAUCCAGCCAUGCCGCGUGAGUGAUGAAGGCCUUCGGGUUGUAAAACUCUUUCGACGGGACGAUAAUGACGGUACCGUAGAAGAAGCUCCGGCUAACUUCGCGCCAGCAGCCGC
rnacentral:rRNA from 1 species